CUUUGAAGCCAAGCAGUGACUUCUCACUAGCUGUGAAAGUCCUAG
rnacentral:miRNA from 1 species